rnacentral:ncRNA from 1 species
AAUCAAUAUUGGCAAACCCGGUGAAAGCCGGGGACGCAAAGCCACGGGUCUAAAGCAUGAACAGUGCUAUGACGGCUGGGCUGCCGAA